rnacentral:rRNA from 1 species
AUACGUAUGUCGCAAGCGUUAUCCGGAAUUAUUGGGCGUAAAGCGAGUCUAGGCGGCUUGUUAAGUCAGAUGUGAAAAUGCGGGGCUCAACUCCGUAUUGCGUUUGAAACUGGCAGGCUAGAGUACUGGAGAGGUGGGCGGAACUACAAGUGUAGAGGUGAAAUUCGUAGAUAUUUGUAGGAAUGCCGAUAGUGAAGACAGCUCACUGGACAGAUACUGACGCUAAAGCUCGAAAGCGUGGGGAGCGAACAGGAUUAGAAACCCCUGUAGUCC